ACGCUCGACACCUACGGGAGACAGCAGUAGGGAAUCUUCCACAAUGGGCGCAAGCCUGAUGGAGCAACACCGCGUGAGUGAAGAAGGGUUUCGGCUCGUAAAGCUCUGUUGUUGGAGAAGAACGUGCGUGAGAGUAACUGUUCACGCAGUGACGGUAUCCAACCAGAAAGUCACGGCUAACUACGUACCAGCAGCCGCGGUAAUCUGAGCGGGCUGGCAAGGC
rnacentral:rRNA from 1 species